GCAGUCGAACGGUGGUAGUGAUACCAUAGUGGCGCACGGGUGCGUAACACGUAUGCAACCUACCUUAUACUUAGGGAUAGCCUUUGGAAACGGAGAUUAAUACCUAAUGGUAUAUUUAGCUGGCAUCGGUUAGAUAUUAAAGAUUUAUUGGUAUAAGAUGGGCAUGCGUCCAAUUAGUUAGUUGGUGAGGUAAUGGCUCACCAAGACGAUGAUUGGUAGGGGAACUGAGAGGUUAAUCCCCACACUGGCACUGAGAUACGGGCCAGACUCCUACGGGGGGCAGCAGUAGGGAAUAUUGGGCAAUGGAGGGAACUCUGACCCAGCCAUGCCGCGUGCAGGAUGAAGGCGUUAUGCGUUGUAAACUGCUUUUAUAUAGGAAGAAACAGACCUUGCGAGGUAGAUUGACGGUACUAUAUGAAUAAGCACCGGCUAACUCCGUGCCAGCAGCCGCGGUAAUACGGAGGGUGCAAGCGUUGUCCGGAUUUAUUGGGUUUAAAGGGUGCGUAGGCGGUUUAUUAAGUCAGUGGUGAAAGACGGUCGCUCAACGAUUGCAGUGCCAUUGAUACUGGUAGACUUGAGUGUGAUUGAG
rnacentral:rRNA from 1 species